CGAGAGACGGCGUCCAAAUCAGCCUAUGGCUUUUCCCUGUACGUAAGCAGUGACCGCAAGGUAGCAACUAAGUACUCGGACCAGUAGCGCCAGAGUUACCUGGCCAGUAUGGCGCUCUGGU
ncrna:unclassified sequences Flavobacterium-1 RNA